CAAGUAAACCGGGUGACCGCCCGCUCUUAAGGCGGGAGGAAAGUCCGAGCUCCACCAGGCGGGGUGCUGGGUAACACCCAGGAGGGGUAACCCUACGGAAAGUGCCACAGAAACAUACCGCCAGCGGCUGGCUGUUAUAUGACAGUAAAUGUCAGUUGUGAUGAUAAAGCAGGCUGGCAGCCAGUGCGGGUAAGGGUGAAAUGGUGAGGUAAGAGCUUACCAGCGGUUGGGUGACCAGCCGGCUGGGUAAACCCCAUCUGGAGCAAGACCGAAUAGGGGGACAAAAUGGCGCCUGGCCUCGUCCCCGGGUUGGUCGCUUGACCCUGGCGGUAACGCCAGGGCUAGAUAGAUGGUCACCGCUCCGGGAAACCGGAGUACAGAACUCGGCUUACAGGUUUGCUUGCCCG
rnacentral:RNase_P_RNA from 1 species